UACGUAGGGACUGAGCGUUGUCCGGAUUCAUUGGGCGUAAAGAGCUCGUAGGCGGCCACUCAAGUCGAAUGUGAAACCUCGAGGCUUAACCUCGAGCCUGCAUUCGAUACUGGGCGGCUAGAGUCUGGUAGGGGGAUCUGGAAUUCCUGGUGUAGCGGUGGAAUGCGCAGAUAUCAGGAGGAACACCUAUGGCGAAGGCAGCACUCUGGGACGGUACUGACGCUGAGGAGCGAAAGCGUGGGGAGCGAACAGG
rnacentral:rRNA from 1 species